rnacentral:misc_RNA from 1 species
AACGCACAUUGCGCCCUCUGGUAUUCCGGGGGGCAUGCCUGUUCGAGCGUCAUUACAACCCUCAAGCUUAGCUUGGUAUUGGGCUCGCCCUUCAUGGGCCUGCCUCAAAAUCAGUGGCGGCUCCGUCCAGUCUCAAGCGCAGUAAUACUCGUCGCUUGUUUGGCUUGGUCGGUGGCCUGCUAACAACCCCCAAUUUUACAAGGUUGACCUCGGAUCAGGUAGGGAUACCCGCUGAACUUAA